ACCGAUUCUAAAUUUUACUGGAUGCUUGCUAAAUAGUUUAUCUCAGUUGGGGUGUAGAUAGCAUACUGUUACACGAUAUUUUACAUUUACGACAUCAAUUUGAAUAUCGAUUUACAUGCUUUAUAUAUCAAAUAUGAUAAUGCUUGAAAGCUCAUUGUGUCUUUGUAGUUUGUCAUAAUGCAAUAUAAUUUAAAUAACUUUAUCAAUACAUAUCAAGAGAUUCACGGAAAUCCAUUUUUGGAUAUUUAUGAGGACAUAUAUAAGAUCACAGACUGAUAGUUUAAAUUAUUUUAUUAAUCGGUGCCUAAACAUGUAUACAUUUGUUGCAACGCACUUUGAAAAUAUUAUGCAAUUUGAAAAGUAAUUUUAAAGUGCGUUAAAUGUGGAACCGAAUCAACGAACUGUGAAUUUUUUUUUUUCAUAGUUCGUUUAACUUUGGACCAAGUGAACGCAUUUUGUAUUUUUUUUUCAAAGGGCGUUAAAAAGUACAUCAACUUUUUUUUUAAAUCAAGACACGUAACGCUCUUUGAAAAACAUAUGUAUAAAUCAAUUUCUGAUUUGUUGAAAGUAUCAGGAUUUGUUGACGCCAGUGAAUAUCCUUAACCGUAUAUGAGAACGGUGGCACUGUUGUUCAUCGUCUGAAUUCGAAAGCUAUUUUGGUUUCAUUGAUAGACGGGCAAUGUAUAAAUAACAAAAUAAUCAAUAAUCUUAUGAAAUAGACAGAAACUUAUUAUCAAUGUCAGUAUAAUAAAUUGCUCUUAUAUUCAAUCCUUGAAACAAAUAUAUUAGAUGCGUGUAAAAGAAAUUCAAAACCAAAAGCGUUUUACAAUGGAAACUAAUCAUUUUUGUAAAAUAAAGGAUAGGUUUUACGCCAACUCUACUGUGUAUUGAUAUAGGAAUUAUAUUGCAAAUAUAUCUGUAAAGCAAAAAUUUAAGAAACGUAGUUGCAUUUGGUCAGAAAUUAUUAAACAUAUGAAACAU
rnacentral:sRNA from 1 species